GGAAAUAGUCACAUAUUUGUUUUUAUCUUGAUCAGGGCUUGCAAAGAAAAGCUUCCAUAUAGCUUGCAUACUUGAUAUAUAAUUUGUUUAGAAUGUGAAAAAGAAAAUUUUACAUAUUUUGAACAACAGAAGGCUGGUGCACCAGUCACACAUUUUUAGUUCAAUAAAACGGUUUCCUCAAACUAAGUGGUUCACUUGGUGACUUUUUAAGAUAUGCAAUCUGAACAACAACAACACACAAAAAUGUGAUUACAUCAAAGAAUCUAAGUGGUCAUAAAAAGCUGUUUUACAUGCAAAAAUGAUGAACAGCAAAUGUGUGGCCAUUUUUGUCUAGCCUCUGAAGGUUGAACAUCAGUUCAAGGUUCCCUUUAUUGUUAAUAUAAGAAGGACUGAACUUUGAUCAGAAUGACAAAGAAACAUACAGCCACCAGAGAUGGAGGCAUGACUCUGUUGCCUGCUCUGGUCCUCAUGGCUGCUUGUGUGGGCCUGGAGAGAGGACUCACUGCUUCUGCCCUUAUUUGGUGAGUGAACGAAGUGGAGCCUUGUGAAGUCUCACAGGCACAUUCUUCUAUUACCAAUCUGGAUCUCGCUGUAUUACACGUUUAGUUAAGAAGAACCCUGUACAAUUCUUUUUAUUUUAACAUAUUCUCCUCUUGUGUGGCCUAUUUUUACUCUUCCACUCUGUUGAGAUAUUCAUUAUAAACUCACAACAGCAAACAUUGGUUCCAAAUGCAAACUCUUCUCUGUUUUCUUCCAUUGCUUUUCUCUGACUCAAAUUGUUGGGCUUCCUUCCUUUCUCAUCUUAUCCGGACCAUUUGUAAAUUUUAUGGUUCAAUCCACUUUAAAUAUGUGAAAAUAAAUGACUGAACUCUAUUAUAAUACAUGUGUAUUUUUCUUUAACAACAAUGUAACCCAAAAGUCAUUGCCAGAAACAGAUUUCAACAGGCCUUAAUGAUUUAUUCCAUAAAAGGUUUUGGGGGAUAUGGCCAAACACAAUAAAAGUCACUGACAGUAAAGCAGAUCCUUAUCUUUUUUUUUUCUGGCUACAGCUACUGAACUAAUAGCUUGACCCAUGUGUUCAUAGUUUACACAAAAUUAAUACUCAGCAUUAAACUGACCAAAAGUGAUGGUAAAGACAUCCUAUUUCAAAUGAACACUGUUCAUUUGAACUUUCUAUUCAUCAAAGAAUCCUGAAAAAACACAAAAAUAUUAAGCGGGUCAGCUGCAGGGUCAUCAGCCAGGAACCACCAUUCACCAACGUUUCACUCCUUUAAUCCUGGAACGUCUCCUGGUGGCGGAGCAGUGACAGGGACGUCUCCCUGUCACCCCCUGCAACUGAUAGAUGUUACCCUCUGCAGCUGUUGUGGGGGUUAGUUGUUCUUUCCCCAGCUCUUGUCUUUAUCCUCAGCCAGAGCCAAAGGCUCCCCUUCUCGGCCUCCUCCGCUAGCUCUUUGAUUACCUUCUUUAGGAUCCCUCCGGUCACUCCUGCCUCCCUCAGAAGGCAUAUGGUUGACAGCCCCACGUAACCUCGGCAUCCAACCUCCACUGGAUAGAUAGUGGUCUUUCAGCCAGCCUCCCGGCACUCAGCAGUCAGCUCUGAGUGCUUGACCUUCUUACAUUCGUAGGCGGCUUUGACCCCCAACCCCCCACUGGUAUUGUGAGCUCAAUGAACAACACGGAUUUUGCCUUGGAGGACCACACCACUAUAUCAGGGCGGAGAGAUGUAGCAGUGAUCUCGACAGCUGCCUGUCAAGGUCGACUCUCAUAUUCCACUCCUGGUCAGGGGAAAAUGGCCUAGGUCAGUGUUUCUCUUGGUCUGAUGUUUCUCCUCCCCCCCGUCUUCAUUGACAAAGCUGAUGUGGUUGUGGUUCUCUACUGGUGGUACUCCUUUGCUGCCCAGUCGACGCCCCUCUAGCACCUCGGCUAGCUUUCUCAGGACCUGGUCGUGGCGCCAUCUGUAGCAUCCCUGGGAGAGCGUGAUCUUACAGCCUGACAAGAUGUGCUGUAGGCUUUCGUUAGGGGUAUUGCAGAGAGUGCAGCCGAACCACUGGUGAAGGUUCCGAGGACAGGGUAACAUGUCAUGGGUUGAGCGGAUGAGGAAGCUGAGCCUUGCCUAUGGGAUCUUCCACAGGUCUGACCAGGUGAUGUUUCGUUUGACAACUCCCUCCCAGGUUGUCCAGCUUCCCUGUUGGCCCUGCGACAUGGCCUUGUUCCUGUAGCGCUCCUCCUCCAUUCUUGUCACCUCUGCCACCACCAUCUCCUUCCUCUCUUUGUGGUUGGCCUUGGACCAGAACAGUGGCACUUCUCGCCACCCUAGCCCUGCUCUUCCUUUAUGGACUCUGCCGACAAUCUCUUGAUGUUGCAAACGACUGACAGCUUGGUCAACCUCAGUUUGGGCAUUCCACUUCCGGCCUGUCAGAACCUUGGGGUUUGCGUUCCUUACAGCCUGGUCAGCGGACUCUCUCAACUCAAGAACAAGCCUGGUCUUUUCCUGCUUGUAGCCCAAACUACAACAAUAUUAAUACUAAUGCAUAUAGUUGUGGUUUUAUCAUUUAACUUCAGUGAAAUGCUU
ensembl:lncRNA